CCCGCACAAGCGGUGGAGCAUGUGGUUAAUUCGACGCAACGCGAAGAACCUUACCAGGUCUUGACAUCCCGAUGCUAUUUCUAGAGAUAGAAAGUUACUUCGGUACAUUGGUGACAGGUGGUGCAUGGUUGUCGUCAGCUCGUGUCGUGAGAUGUUGGGUUAAGUCCCGCAACGAGCGCAACCCCUAUUGUUAGUUGCCAUCAUUCAGUUGGGCACUCUAGCGAGACUGCCGGUAAUAAACCGGAGGAAGUGGGGAUGACGUCAAAUCAUCAUGCCCCUUAUGUCUUGGGCUUCACGCAUGCUACAAUGGCCGGUACAAAGGGCUGCGAUACCGCGAGGUGGAGCGAAUCCCAGAAAGCCGGUCUCAGUUCGGAUUGGGGUCUGCAACUCGACCCCAUGAAGUCGGAGUCGCUAGUAAUCGCAGAUCAGCAACGCUGCGGUGAAUACGUUCCCGGGCCUU
rnacentral:rRNA from 1 species